GUGACUUUGAGCAGAUUUCAAAGCCAAGAGGUAGAAACAGAAACUGUGCAUUAUAUAAACAAGGCUUGUUACCUCAGACCCAAAGAGAGCCUUGGUCAAACAACAGUCAAUCAAUAGUCUUCUCAGCAGGUGGAUCACAGAUUCAUGGUGACAGAUGCGAACGCAAAGAAUGAGGACAUACAGCUUUUAUGAGACAAACAUGCAUAUUGCUGGUCAAAGCCAAUAAUCUCCCUCUCUCUCAACUGUGGAGGUAAAGAAUAAAUGCACACUGCAGGAAAAAGGGGCCUUACAGUGGGUAAGAAAGAACCACCAUUUGGGAACAGUACCAGAGAGAAACGCACAUUUAGACUGGGUAGUGAAGAGAGCAUCGGCUUACUAGUCAGUUACCAUGUUCCUGGGAGCUUUGAUGAUCUGCCAAAACAUGACAGAUGUUCAGAAAGGAAUUAGUGCCAUAGACCACACAGGUCUAUGCUGGACAUGUGACACAUGGGGACUGAAUAAGCUUGGGGGACAAGGCAGAGAAAACCUCUGUAUGGUUUGCGGAGACCAGAAAUGUCAAAACUCUGUGGAGAACAGCUGUUCUCAUUUCUGGCUCAUCUGCUAAGGAAGUGCUCAGAAUCUCCUCAAAAGGCUCCUGCAAGCUAUCCCAUCCCAGAUGUAAACUCGGAGACUGAUUUUGUAGUCUUUGAAAGAAUUGAUCAGACGCAGUAGAACUGGUUUCCUUACCACUGAAUCUACUAUGUGAAAAUUAUUUGGAGGCCACAGCUAAAAGGUUGCAGAGCUCUCCAAAAGUCCCCAAGCAGUGAAUCCACUAGUAUAUUAACAAGACAUCGACAACACAUGCCUUUGGGUGGGAGCAGAGGUAAUUGCUGUUGGUAAGAAUGGAUGUCUCCUAUCCCAGGAAGCCUCCUCUGAAGCCCCAUCUGCCAGGCUAGUUCAAUAGCUCUUCUAUGGGUACACAGGAAGCCUUGCCUCUCUAUCUCAACACACCAUAAAACACAUAUUUUUAUAAUAACCUUCUUACGUGAUUAGAAACAGAGGGCCUACCUUACUUGACAUUGUACCCCUGUGUAGUGCACAGUAUGUAGUACAUCUAAAGUGUUCAGUGAAUAUCCUAAAGAUGAAAUCAGUUUUUAAAUCAGCUGGAUGUAGCUACAAGACUAGAUGAGGUGUAAAAGGCAGCUGUGCUGGGGAAAUGAGGGCAGCAAGGUUUCAGUCCUAGUUUUAGGUUUGGGACUCUGACAGAAGAAGCAUGUCCUGCAGACUGGUAGGGCACCAGCAGAAGGUGGCAUCAGUGCCAAAAAGGUUGCUCUGACAGGCAGAGAGAGCACUUGAGCUUAGAUCUUCCUAACUAAGUUGGGCUCCCAGGUAGCAUGGGCAGGACUCAGCAAUUCCUAUUUGUUCCAAAUGGAGGAUGUAAUAUUACUGAGAAUCUAGGAUUACAAGAGGGGAGUCCAGUGGUUGGUGUGAAAGUGCCUUGUGGUUGUGAACUUCAGGGCAUACUAUCUGGCUGGGAACCAAAUUCGAGUCCCAUUGAGAUCUCAGGGCUUUCACAUUCCCAGGAGAGGUGAAGGGGGUCAGCAGGGAGGACCACCUGUCCCGUCAGCUGAGAUUUGAGGAUCAGAAGGCAGCAACACAAGGUGGUGUCGGGAGAGACAAGACAUUGCUGCAGUACAAGAGGAGCAAAAGACGGGUGAGGAGCCCACGUGUUCAUUUCUAUUGUGUGGGCCCCCACUGCACACCCAGGUGCCUGCUUUUGAAGAGCAGGAGACUAAGAAAUAUAUUCAUAAGUGCCUGGGAUAUGUAGAUUAUUUCAAUUAUUGCAUUAAACUGUAAUCAAUCCUGAAAAAAGUAAGCAAGCUAAGUUUUUCUUUUCUUUCUUUCUUUUUUUUUUUUUGCUUUAUUCCGCUUUAUCCUGCUUCCAAUGAAUGGUGGCGUUUGAUGACAAUGGGAGCAUUUUGUAACAUAAUAAAGAAGCUACAUUUUUUUUUGCACAUAUGAAUGGAGCAUGAAGGCAUUUGUAACCCUGUGACAGGUGAUUUUAAUUACUAAUCUAGGUGCAUAGAAGAAAAAGACUUGGCCUAACUUGGCACCUAAAUAGAGAGCUAAGAGGUUGGGGGAGAAAUCUUAUCUUUGAGUGGAAGUAAAAUAAAUCGGGGACAUAUGACUGUAAUCAUCACCAUCUCCAGUCCCUCCAAGAGUCAGGAGACCUGGUGAAACCUGAAUAUUAGGGAAGAGGUGGCUUAACACCCCUGAAACAUAGUAAGCAUUAUUAUUAGAGAGGAAUCAUUAGUGAAGUCAGCUGACAUGUGUUCCCAACAGAACAAAGGACAGUAGAUUGUAGAGAAGAUUCAAAGCUGGCACUUAUUUCAAAUAUUUGUAUGCUUUUUACUUCUUGUACUUCCAAACCAUCCAAAACAGCAAACAAAAAUAAAUAAAAGAGUAUUUUCUUCCACAUUUAAUAGAAGCUAAAAGACUGAACUAAAACACAAACUGACUAUAUCUGCAUCAGAGAUUCUUUGGUCUUGCAUUAUGUAACAUAUUGAGAAUUUAUAAAUACGCAAAUAUUAUUUGAGUAUUUUCCUUUGUUGUUUGACAUUUUUUUCUGUCAACAAACACCAUUGUAUGAAACAUCAUAAUUAGAGUUAUUUGAUACUUGCUAUAUACCAAGUGUUAUUUUAGGCACUUUAUAGAAGCUUACUCAAGCGUUGGUUAACAAUCCUUGAAGUGGGUGCUAUUAAUUCCCUAUAUUACAAACAAGAGAACUGACAGAAUGAUACUAAGUAACUUGAUUGAGAUUUUACAGCCAGUAAUAGUAGAUAUAGGAUUUGAUCUCAGGUUUUCCAUGACCAUAAACUGUGCUUACCUCCUACACCAGGCUGGUCUGUGAAUAGAGUAUAUUCAACAAAACUUUGUGAAUACCUGCCAUGUGUAAUGUGCAUGUACAGAAUAUAAAGAUAGUGCAUUUGGGUAUGGUCACAAGUUAUGUUAGGGGUCCCAAUCCAGACUGCAAGAGAGGGUUCUUGGAUGUCGCUCAAGAAAGAAUUUGGGGCGAGUCCACAGUGCAAAAUGAAAGCGAGUUUAUUAAGAAAGUAAAGUGGUGAAAGAAUAGCUAUUCCGCAGACAGAGAAGGGCAUUCCCGAAAGUAAGAGGAGGAAUGCUCCCACUCUAGGUACAAUACUUGUUUAUAUAUAGGAUAACAACAACAACAACAUAUCAUAGGGAGAUGUGCUCUGCUAUAAGGGUUUGUGAUAAAGGGUUACUUUUCUUAAUCACUGUAUUUUGUAAAAAUCAAUAUUAUUAUUUUUAAAGCAAAAUUAGAAAUGCUUCUCAAGAUGUUGGAAGUCUGGGUCUGUUUAGUAAAUGUUAUCAAUCUGUUCUUUUAAACCUAAACAUGUAGAGGGGCUAGGAAUAACUAACGUCCUGGGAAUGCAGCCCAGAAAGUCUCAGCCUCAUUUUUCCUAGCCCUCACUCAAGAUGGAGUUCCUCUGGUUCGAAUGCCUCUAACAGUGAGAUGGAAGACAUGGAAGCACACUAGCAGGAGAAACCAACUAUGCCUAAGAAUGACACAGCACAAUAGAGCCACAAUCAUGUCCAUUUAUUUACUUAUUUAUUUGCAGCAUGAAACCAAGACAUCACACCUGAGCAUUCUGAUGGGUCUUAGCAAGAGCACCUAGGUGACCUGUUGUUUCUCCAAGGCUGACAUUUCUCAGUCUCCUGGCAUUAGAAAGGCAGAGCCAAACCUCCAGGAUUUUGCUGCUUACCUGCAGCUCUCACUGAGCCCCAGGUUAUCUGGAUUUAGAGGAUUGUGGAUCAGUAGGAUUGGCCAUUAGACACUAAUUCUCAUUCAAUUAAGGAAGGGAUAACUAAUGUGUUUCUCUGAUGAAAAAGGUAGGGUGGCCAAGGGGCAUUAAUAUCAGAGAGAUCUGCUUGGAUUUAAACCCAAAUUUGGUCACUUAAUUAUGUCAUCUUUGAAAUAUUUAUUUAACUUUUCUGAACUGUGGUUUCUUAAUUUAUAAAAUGAGGAUGGCGCGAGCAAUUGUGGGCAUUAACUAAAACAAUACGCUUGAAAGUGUUUGACAAUACCAGCAGCUCAUGAAAAAGAAAAACAUCUAAAACAGAAUGUGGGUGAAAAGACUGAGAGUAAUUUUCUACUUGAAGCAGAGUCUUCACUGAAAACCAUACUUCUUUCUGCAUGCCCACACUCUACAGCCUAUUGGCUUGUAUUAUAGAUUUUUAUGUGUGUGGUAUAUUAUUUUCUCACAAUAGCUCUCUUGCCGUGUUCUGUCUGCUAUUAAUCUGUAAGAUCAUUAGGCACAAGGAUUGUGAAUUCGAUUUCUUUCAUAUUCUCUUCCCAUAGUACCUAAUAAAAACUCCCCACAGAGCCUCCAUUCUGUGAGAAGAAUAUAAAUAUACAGCACUUCACAAUUUACAAAAUCAUUUCACAUGCAUCCCCUCAUUUGAUCUCACUACAGCUCUCACGGGCUUCCUUGGUUCUCAGAUCACGAUGAUUGGGAGGUGGACAGACUAAGUAAUGAUCAGGUUUCGGCAUUAAGCAUAGCAUGUACUCUGAUACUUAUCAAAUUUUUCUCUGCCGCCUCCUUUUUCUCUCUAACCUUGGGCCCUUAGAAAUGUAUCUCAGUUACACAUCCUCGGGUCCUGUGCCUCCAAAGAAAUUUCCAAAGGCAAAAAAAACAAAAAAAACAAAACAAGAGGUAACUUGUGCCAGCACAUUUCUGCAUGGCCUCCCUAGAAGGAAAGGAGCCUAUGUUUAUCAUCCAGAUGUAUUAAGACGGUAACAUUUCCUGACCAAAUUCGAGCAAGACGAUUUAAAUGAGAGCGUGCCUAAUGACAUUUUAUGACAAAUGCAAUAUUUUAGAGGCAUGAAUUAAUUUUAAAGCGUACUUCUACCACAAUUCUCACAAGUUAAAGUACAAUUUUAAAACAUGUAAGACAAGUUUUUUAAGAGCAGUUUUAAGUUUAUGGCAACAUUGAGAAGAAGAUACAGAGAUUUCUUAUAUACUCUUGUCUCCACAUAUGGUCAGCCUUCCCCAUUGUCAACAUCUCCCACCAGAGUGGUGCAUUUGUUACAGUCGAUGAAACGACAUUGGCACAUCAAUAUCACCCAAAGUCCAUAGUUUCCCUUAAGGUUCAUGCUUAGUGUUGUAUAUCCUAUGGGUUUAGGUAAAUGUAUAAUAAUAUGUAUUCAUCAAUAUAGCAUUAUACAGAGUGUUUUCACUGCCCUGAAAAUCUUCUGUGCUUCCGUGAAAAUUUUCACUGCCCUGAAAAUUUUCUGUAGAUAAAUUAUCCCACGCCUCAAACCCUGGCAGUCACUGAUCUUUUUCUUUUAACUGAUUCCAUAGUUUUACCUUUUCCAGAAUGUCAUAUAUUUGGAGUACAUCAUAUGGCCUUUUCAGAUUGGCUUCUUUCACUUAGUAAAAUAUGCACUUAAGUUUCCUUUGUGCUUUUCUAUGGCCUGAUAGCUCAUUUCCUUUUAGCACUGACUUAUAUUGCAUUGUCUGAACAUACCACAGUUUCUUUAACCAUUCACCUACUGAAGAACAUCUUGGUUGCUUCUAAAUUUUGGCAAUUAUAAAUAAAGCUGCUAUAAACUUUCCUGUGUAGGUUUCCAUGUGGAUACAAAUUUUUAACUUCUUUGGGUAAAUACCAAGGUGUGAUCGCUGGAUUUUAUAGUGUAUUAGCCCGUUCUCACACUGCUAUAAAGAACUACCUGAGACUGGGUAAUUUAUGGAGAAAAGAGGUUUAACUGACUCACAGUUCCACAGACUGUACAAGAAGCAUGGCUGGGAGGCCUCAGGAAACUUACAAUCAUGGCAGAAGGCAAAGGGGAAGCAAGCAUGUCUUACCAUGGUGGAGCAGGAGAGAGAAAGAGUGAAGGGGGAAGUGCUACACAUUUUCAGACAACCAGAUCUUGUGAGAACUCUAUCACAAAAACAGCAAUGGGGAAGUCCACCCACGUGAUUCAAGCACCUCCCACCAGGCCCCUCCAUCAAGUGAGGAUGACAGUUCGACACGAGAUUUGGGUGAGGACACAGAGCUAAACUAUAUCACAUG
rnacentral:lncRNA from 10 species